CCGGCAAACGGGUGCGUAACACGUACGCAAUCUACCCACUACAGGGGAAUAGCCCAGGGAAACUUGGAUUAAUACCCCAUAUUAUAUGGAGUUGGCAUCAACUUUAUAUCAAAGCUUCGGCGGUAGUGGAUGAGCGUGCGGUUGAUUAGAUAGUUGGCGGGGUAACGGCCCACCAAGUCUACGAUCAAUAGCUGAUGUGAGAGCAUGAUCAGCCACACGGGCACUGAGACACGGGCCCGACUCCUACGGGAGGCAGCAGUAAGGAAUAUUGGGCAAUGGACGCAAGUCUGACCCAGCCAUGCCGCGUGAAGGAUGAAGGUCCUCUGGAUUGUAAACUUCUUUUAUCUGGGGCGAAAACAACUCUUUCUAGGGUUCUUGACAGUACCAGAGGAAUAAGCAUCGGCUAACUCCGUGCCAGCAGCCGCGGUAAUACGGAGGGUGCAAGCGUUAUCCGGAUUCACUGGGUUUAAAGGGUGCGUAGGCGGGUUAGUAAGUCAGUGGUGAAAUCCCCGAGCUUAACUUGGGAACUGCCGUUGAUACUAUUAGUCUUGAAUAUCGUGGAGGUAAGCGGAAUAUGUCAUGUAGCGGUGAAAUGCUUAGAUAUGACAUAGAACACCAAUUGCGAAGGCAGCUUGCUACUCGAUUAUUGACGCUGAGGCACGAAAGCGUGGGGAUCAAACAGGAUUAGAUACCCUGGUAGUCCACGCCCUAAACGAUGAAUGCUAGCCGUUGGGGAGCUUGCUCUUCAGUGGCGCAGUUAACACUUUAAGCAUUCCGCCUGGGGAGUACGGUCGCAAGAUUAAAA
rnacentral:rRNA from 1 species